ensembl:snRNA U6 U6 spliceosomal RNA
GUAGUCACUUCGGCAGCACACCUACUAAAAUUGGAAUGAUACAGAAAAAUUACCAUAGCCUCUGUGCAAGGAUGACACACAAACUGGUAAAGCAUUCCAUAUUUUU